rnacentral:pre_miRNA from 1 species
AGCCUCAUGUAUCCGUGCUAAGAUUACGUCAGCGACCAACCCUGUUGGAGCGGAUGCAACUUCCCAAAUAAGUGAAGCG